rnacentral:rRNA from 1 species
AGAGUUUGAUCCUGGCUCAGAAUCAACGCUGGCGGCGUGCCUAACACAUGCAAGUCGAACGAGAAAGUGGAGCAAUCCAUGAGUAAAGUGGCGCACGGGUGAGUAACACGUGACUAACCUACCCUUGAGUGGGGAAUAACUUCGGGAAACCGAGGCUAAUACCGCAUAACACCUACGGGUCAAAGGAGCAAUUCGCUUAAGGAGGGGGUCGCGGCAGAUUAGUUAGUUGGCGGGGUAAUGGCCCACCAAGACGGUGAUCUGUAUCCGGCCUGAGAGGGCGCACGGACACACUGGAACUGAAACACGGUCCAGACUCCUACGGGAGGCAGCAGUGGGGAAUUUUGCGCAAUGGGGGAAACCCUGACGCAGCAACGCCGCGUGGAGGAUGAAGUCCCUUGGGACGUAAACUCCUUUCGAUCGGGACGAUUAUGACGGUACCGGAAGAAGAAGCCCCGGCUAACUUCGUGCCAGCAGCCGCGGUAAUACGAGGGGGGCGAGCGUUGUUCGGAAUUAUUGGGCGUAAAGGGCGCGUAGGCGGUUGGAUAAGUCUCGUGUGAAAUCUUCGGGCUCAACUCGAAGUCUGCACGAGAAACUAUCUGGCUAGAGUGUGGGAGAGGUGAGUGGAAUUCCUGGUGUAGCGGUGAAAUGCGUAGAUAUCAGGAGGAACACCUGUGGCGAAAGCGGCUCACUGGACCACAACUGACGCUGAGGCGCGAAAGCUAGGGGAGCAAACAGGAUUAGAUACCCUAGUAGUCC